rnacentral:rRNA from 1 species
CCUACGGGUGGCAGCAGUGGGGAAUAUUGCACAAUGGGGGAAACCCUGAUGCAGCGACGCCGCGUGAGUGAGGAAGUAUUUCGGUAUGUAAAGCUCUAUCAGCAGGGAAGCAAAUGACGGUACCUGACCAAGAAGCCCCGGCUAACUACGUGCCAGCAGCCGCGGUAAUAUGGAGGGGGCAAGCGUUAUCCGGAUUUACUGGGUGUAAAGGGAGCGUAGACGGCUAAUCAAGUCAGGAGUGAAAACCCAGGGCUCAACCUUGGGACUGCUUUUGAAACUGAGUAGCUAGAGUGCAGGAGAGGUAAGCGGAAUGCCUGGUGUAGCGGUGAAAUGCGUAGAUAUUAGGAAGAACGCCAGUGGCGAAGGCAGCUUACUGGACUGUAACUGACGUUGAGGCUCGAAAGCGUGGGGAGCAAACAGGAUUAGAUACCCGAGUAGUC